rnacentral:rRNA from 1 species
GAUGAACGCUGGCGGCGUGCUUAACACAUGCAAGUCGAACGAAGCGCUUAAACGGAUUUCUUCGGAUUGAAGUUUUUGCGACUGAGUGGCGGACGGGUGAGUAACGCGUGGGUAACCUGCCUCAUACAGGGGGAUAACAGUUAGAAAUGACUGCUAAUACCGCAUAAGCGCACAGUGCUGCAUGGCACAGUGUGAAAAACUCCGGUGGUAUGAGAUGGACCCGCGUCUGAUUAGGUAGUUGGUGGGGUAACGGCCUACCAAGCCGACGAUCAGUAGCCGACCUGAGAGGGUGACCGGCCACAUUGGGACUGAGACACGGCUCAA